ACUGGGCCUUGACCGUGUGUGGAUGAAGUCCCAGCAUGCCUGACUUCAUCUUCCUCCUCCCUUAGCAUGUCAGUUCCUCAUUCCUGCAUGUGUGUAUCUGUUUGUCUGUCCAUUUUCUCCUUAGGACUCACAGAGCAGGUACCACCUUGGAAUUUGCUAUGAGAAAGGCCUUGGUGUGCAGAGGAAUCUGGGAGAGGCCUUGAGAUGUUACCAGCAGUCAGCCGCUCUGGGAAAUGAGGCCGCCCAGGAGAGGCUGCGAGCCCUCUUUUCCAUGGGGGCUGCAGCCCCGGGGCCCAGCGACCUGACAGUUACAGGACUGAAGUCUUUCUCCAGCCCCUCCCUCUGCAGCUUGAACACCCUGCUAGCAGGAACCUCACGCCUACCACAUGCCUCGAGCACAGGCAACCUUGGCCUCCUCUGCAGAAGUGGGCAUCUCGGAGCCAGCCUGGAAGCCUCCAGCAGGGCUAUUCCCCCACACCCCUACCCACUGGAAAGGAGUGUUGUAAGACUAGGUUUUGGCUAAGGUGAGAUAAAACAUAGUCCCUGGUGCCUCUUAGGGGCCAGAGCGGGCAGGAGGUUGGAUAACAAAAAUAGAGCAUCAGCAACCCUUUCCAGGUAGAAAUUCCAGCGGGAGUUCAGGUUCCCAAGCAAUUUCACGUACAUGGCUGGUAAGUGACUGAUCUUUCCCCCCGCUUGGUAGCCUCACAGAUGA
rnacentral:lncRNA from 1 species